GGUCAGUAAAGAGAGCAGAAGGCAGAAGGUCCCAGGAGCAUGGCAGGAUCCAUAAAGGAAUGCCAUCCAUGAGAAGUCCCCAGGUGGUGGAGAAUGGCCAGCAACUUUCUAGGAACAGUAAUGUCUGGUGUGAAUUUGAUUACUUCCUGCCCUGUAUUGUGAUUGUCUUUCAUUUCCCCCAAAGCUCAGUGAAAGGCAGCUACACGUGGCUGCCAUGCAUUAGGGGCACUUUGGACAGAUGAAGGAAGAAAGGCAAAGUCAUGUUGAAAGGGGACAGCUGCCCAAGAGGAUGAAAUGCUUGCAGGGAUAAACAGGAAAACAGAGUGAGAAGUGAUUGAGAGGAACGGAACCCCGCUGAGACCUCUUGAAGACCUUGGGGGAAGUGCUGAACUUCCCUUUGUUGGAGGGGAUGAGUCUCCAGCAUUUUAUUUAGAUAUUAAAGGAAAAGGUAAAUUGUGCAGACUGGAGGACCUGGAGUCACCUGGGUAACAAAAAUAAAUGGAAAAGUGUGCAAGGAUACAUGUGCAGACAUGCUCUUAGCAGCAUGGUUUUUUUUUUUUGUUUUUUGUUUGUUUGUUUACAUUAACAAAUAUUGGGAGGCUGCUUGGAUGUCUGGCAAUGAGAGAGUGAUAAAGUAGGUUGUGAUGCCUCUUUUUUCAUGCAGCCACUAGAAAUGAUGACAAGGGCACAUAUUCUGUUGAAUGAGAGAAGCAGGUUUUGAAACAGUGCAAAUACUGGG
rnacentral:lncRNA from 10 species